GAUGAACGCUGGCGGCGUGCCUAAUACAUGCAAGUCGAGCGAACAGACGAGGAGCUUGCUCCUCUGACGUUAGCGGCGGACGGGUGAGUAACACGUGGAUAACCUACCUAUAAGACUGGGAUAACUUCGGGAAACCGGAGCUAAUACCGGAUAACAUGUUGAACCGCAUGGUUCAACAGUGAAGGACGGUCUUGCUGUCACUUAUAGAUGGAUCCGCGCCGCAUUAGCUAGUUGGUAAGGUAACGGCUUACCAAGGCAACGAUGCGUAGCCGACCUGAGAGGGUGAUCGGCCACACUGGAACUGAGACACGGUCCAGACUCCUACGGGAGGCAGCAGUAGGGAAUCUUCCGCAAUGGGCGAAAGCCUGACGGAGCAACGCCGCGUGAGUGAAGAAGGUCUUCGGAUCGUAAAACUCUGUUAUUAGGGAAGAACAAAUGUGUAAGUAACUAUGCACGUCCUGACGGUACCUAAUCAGAAAGCCACGGCUAACUACGUG
rnacentral:rRNA from 1 species